AACAAAUUAAUUAGAGUGUACACAUGUUAUGUUCAUCUAUUCGUAAUUAUUUUAUUGAUGGACAAAAUUUCCAAUUGUGCCAGUUCAAAAAUUUAUUUUAUUCUUACUCAUGAAAAUUUGAAAUGUCUCGAAUCAUAUGGUUGUGACAUGUAUAUUCAUAAUUUUUACGGAUACCAGGUUAUUAUCAUUAUUUUUUUUGAGAAGUUAGAAGGAUGGGUAACACUACUAAUGACAGGAC
rnacentral:lncRNA from 1 species